AAAUAUUUACCUAUCCUUUCACCACCUGAUUCAUAAUGCCCUCAGUGACAUAGCAAUAUAUAACCACAACCUAGGAACAAGAAGGUAAAAGUUCUACAUUGCACGAGUGGUCUUAUAAAACAACACAUUAAAGACAGGCACUUCCCACAAUGUUGGUCUACGUAUAUAUUUCACCCGCAGCACGUUGAUCAGAUGUGGUUUCACACAGAAACUGAACCCUGCAGAAAACUUCCAGCUGUCAUCCUGAAAGCUCUCGUGUCACGAACAGCAUGAACGUCUCACAAGGCACCUGGUUGUUCAGACCUUAAAGAACUGACAAAUGUGGGACAGUCAGGAGUCUUCUUACUCAUGUUGAAUUUCACCUGGCAGAGGGAUAAAGCGGGAUUUGUUCAAAAGAAGACUAUGACUCCGUGCAGGUGUUCAGCAGUUCAGUUAAAAAUGUUUCUAGUAAACAGGAAAUAAGCAGUGUGUUCCAACUGGACACUGAACAUCACCAUGGAGGACAAAUGGGUCAUAAUCUCCAGCCUUCUGUUCCCUUUGAAGAUAUCUUCAAGAUAUAUUCUGUUUUAAUACAUAAAAAUGAGGAGGAUUAUACAACUCUGAAAUUUUUUAAAAGUAAUGACUGAAUGAUAAAACAAAAACUUUUCAAUGUCGGCUUACAGUUUGUGCUCAAUGAGACUUUUCUCCAAAUUAAGAGCAAAUAAUAAGACCUAAGUGGAACAUACAGGUUCAAGUUGGGAAGCUGUUAGGUGAUCUGAGUUACUUAGGUUUAUUCUUUAUUAACUGGGUUAAAAUAGGCCCACACAGAUGUGGAAGCAAUGCAGCCAGCACUGCAGAAAUAUAUGACUGUAGACAGAUAAUCCUUGUAUAAAAUCUUUUCUGUGUGUAAAAGGAUACUGCCCAACUCUAAUGGCUAAAUGGGUGACUUACACCUUAGAAAGCUCUGGAGAAAUGUCACCUCCAGGGGCUGAUGAAUGCCCAUAUGGAAAGAGAGCAAAUGGAAAAUCUGGACAAAUGUUUCAGCCAGAAUAACAUAAGAUUUUAAAGGUAUGUUCAGUUUGUCUGAUUUCAGCCAUAUAAGCAGUGCUUUUACUUUCUCAGAUUUCAUCAUAAUGAGAGAAAUGUCUGAAUAAGAGAGGAAAGCAGAUUAGUGUCUUGGGAAAGCUCAUGAAACAGGGGAAGCCAGGAAAACUUGAUAAUGUGGUUAGAGCUAAUAAAAAGGACAUGAAGAAACUGAUAAGCCUAGAAUAUUGUCUUGACACAGCAUUAGGAAUGGCCUUAGAGAUUUAGAGAAAAUUACAUGGGAGGGAUCUUCUGUAGUCAAAGCAGGAUGUAAGGCCCUGGGAGACAAGGGAGAAGAUUGAGGGCAAUGGACUAAAUGAAAACAGAAUGAAAGAAGAAAUGGAUUCCCUAUUCAUAGCUGAAUAAGCCAAAAACAUUGCUUGUGAUAUGGGAGUGGGCAAAGAUAAUAACAACGGUUGAGAAGAAUGACAGGAGCAAGAUGAAAAAGGAAAUAAAACAAUGCGACUAGAACAGAGGCUAAAUCAGAGACACUUAUGCACAGAGAAACAACAAGAUAACAGUUGGGUCUCUGAACUGAUUUUAUUUACCAAGGGGAACGCAGGAGCACAGGCUGAAAAUACAGAAUCUAACUGUAGGAGAAAAGGUAAGCCUGUCAUGCAAGCUGGGGAGAGGUAGCCAAAUGUACACUAAGGAAGGACUGAGUCAUGAAAGCCAAAGGAAAAAAAAAAAA